rnacentral:rRNA from 1 species
UACGAGGGGGGCAAGCGUUGUUCGGAAUUAUUGGGCGUAAAGGGCGCGUAGGCGGUUUGACAAGUCUGAUGUGAAAUCUAUGGGCUCAACCCAUAGCCUGCAUUAGAAACUGUCGGGCUUGAGUAUGGGAGAGGUGAGUGGAAUUUCCGGUGUAGCGGUGAAAUGCGUAGAUAUCUGGAGGAACACCGGUGGCGAAGGCGGCAUCCUGGACCGACACUGACGCUGAGGAGCGAAAGCCAGGGGAGCAAACAGG